GGUCUGUCGGUCCACCAGAUGGUUUCCGGAUGAUAACUCAAAAACGCUUAGGCCUAGGAUCAUGAAACUUUAUAGGUACAUUGAUCAUGACUGGCAGAUGACCCUUAUUGAUUUUCAGGUCACUAGGUCAAAGGUCAAGGUCACAGUGACUGGAAAUAGUAAAAUGGUUUCCGGAUGAUAACUAAAGAAUGCUUAGGCCUAGGAUCAUGAAACUUCAUAGGUACAUUGAUCAUGACUGGCAGAUGACCCUUACUGAUUUUCAGGUCACUAGUUUUUAAGUUUUCACAAUACAGAGGUAUCCUCCUCCAGUUAAUCCUAAAAAAAAGUAAUUCGGAAGAUACAACAAAAAUGGUUUCAAUUAUUGAACUAACAUACAGUUACCAAAGUAAUGGGGCCUUGUAAGUAUUAAUCUAUGAAAAUUAUGAUACUUUGACUUUAAAUUUGUUUAAUGAUGUUUAUUGAGACAAGUCAAUGGAUGACAAUCUAUUCCAGCAACUAGAUGGAAAAAAAUUUCAGAGGCUAUCUGCAGCAAACCAGUAGGUGUUCAAUUUAAAUCAGUUUUUGUUCAGGCUCGUCGUUGGCAAUCUUUUCUGGGAUGAGAUGGAACUAAAUUCUGAGGCUGUCUUCAAUCAACCAGUAGGUGUCCAUUGACCACUGGGUCUUACUGCUUGUCUAAGGUGUCAGGUAGAGUAAAAAGAUAUGUAAGGUAGAGUAAAUAGAUAUGUAAGGUAGAGUAAAUAGAUAUGUAAAUAAGAGUAAAUAGAUAUGCAAUGUAGAGUAAGUAGAUAUGUAAGGUAGAGUAAAUAGAUAUGUAAGGUAGAGUAAAUUGAUAUGUAAGGUAGAGUAAAUAGAUAUGUAAGGUAGAGUAAGUAGAUAUGUAAGGUAGAGUAAAUAGAUAUGUAAGGUAGAGUAAAUAGAUAUGUAAGGUAGAGUAAAUAGAUAUAUAAGGUAGAGUAAGUAGAUAUAUAAGGUAGAGUAAAUAGAUAUGUAAGGUAGAGUAAGUAGAUAUGUAAGGUAGAGUAAGUAGAUAUGUAAGGUAGAGUAAGUAGAUAUAUAAGGUAGAGUAAGUAGAUAUGUAAGGUAGAGUUAGUGUUUUUUCCAGGCCGUUUUAGCGUGGCGAAUCGCCAUGCCCCUUUUUUUGUAGCGCCACGCUGCCCCUUUCAAAGCCAUUUAGCGCCACGCUGCCCUUUCCAAAGACCGCCGCCCUGCCCUUUCAUGAGUACCCGCUGUUUUCUGUCCAUAUUGAUAACCUCUUGACCAAAGUUCUAAGCCGACUAGUAUCAGAUUAUGGCCUCCGAGGCAGCGCAUUUGUGAAUAAGUCAUGCGUGAAUAACCCCAUGUCAGUAUCAAUUGAUAUGUUAUACCACUAAUCGGUCGGUAAUGUGUAUUCCUCCACGAUA